GCCUGGGUGCCCCCUUCCCCCGGCGUGCCCCCGACACGGCAUUGCAGGGCGAGCGAAGCCGUGCAGCUUCUCAGAUGGCUCCACAAGGUGUGCGUGAUGGGAUGCUCCUGCGUCGGCGCACCUCCCCGUCUUCUCACGCCGGCAGUGUGGUAACUACGACAUUAUUGCUUACUGAGGACCUUGUUGACAACAUCAUAAGACCAGACUCAGUGGAUAUCCAUAUUUUCAAGAUGUCACUUCAUUUCCUUCCAAUUCUACAUUACCAAGCAAAGCAAGCUCCAGUUUGUCUUCAUGUCUUGAUAACAUGGGAUAUGGGAAUACCACCCACUUGAUGAUACUAUGAUAGUCGAGAGCACAUAUACAUCUUGCUUUGGCCAAUGCAAAGGACAGAGGAUGUGAUCCAUGUUCAUACUUCCCGAAAGGAGUCCAUCGAAGCAUCGGAUCAUAUGAUUCAUUGUUUCCCAACUAAUACAAGGAGGAUAAAAUGAAAGUGGAUAUUAAUCAAUGUUUUUUCUCCAUGUCAAAUACUUGCAUGUUAGCAUCAGGGCUUGGGUCGCAAAAUCAGUGUGGUUCAGAAAAUUGGUUGUGUAUCUCUAAUUUCCUUACAUUGAGUUCUAUCAGGUGUUAAAAUUUGUGUUUGGCUCACAAACAACACCACCUUUAAACAAUCAUAUUAUGUAAAAUCAGGAUCUUGCUGUAUGAACCCCAUCUGUGUAAUGCUUCAACCAGCUGUGUAAUGUUAGAACCAUACUCUAUCAUGCUAAGAAUCUUU